GUGGGAGACAAGAGGAUGGUGCUGCAGUGAAUGGGGGUCGGGUACUAUACACCGACUAAACAUUAGCGAUGGGUUUUGCAUUUGUAUAGACGACGAAGAGGAGCAUGGGGGAGGUGGGGGGAUGUACGACGCUACUCCAAAUGCAAGUGGAUGGGGAAUGAGGGAAACCGAGAACGGAGUAGCGAAGGCCACGGAAAAAAUGCGGUGGCGUUGGUUCAGAGAGACAAGGAAACAGAUGAGGGGAAACAUAACGCAUAAGGUAUACUCAAACAACGUCAACAGAGUGGAAGAGAUGAAAGAAGUCAGCGUUCAUGUUGUAUCGAACGACGGCACCUCGUGUCCAUGACUCUCAAGCAAUGCUUGGUAGAGCAUCGCCCGCUGCUUCCACAUUUCCUUCUCUUCCUUCUCGCGUUCGACAG
rnacentral:misc_RNA from 1 species